rnacentral:rRNA from 1 species
CCCUCCCUCUGGCUUCAUGCCUAACACAUGCAAGUCGAACGAGACCUUCGGGUCUAGUGGCGCACGGGUGCGUAACGCGUGGGAACCUGCCCUUAGGUUCGGAAUAACUCCCCGAAAGGGGUGCUAAUACCGGAUAAUGUCUUCGGACCAAAGAUUUAUCGCCUUUGGAUGGGCCCGCGUUGGAUUAGCUAGUUGGUAGGGUAAAAGCCUACCAAGGCGACGAUCCAUAGCUGGUCUGAGAGGAUGAUCAGCCACACUGGGACUGAGACACGGCCCAGACCUCCUAGGGGGGGCGGAAGGGGGAAUAUUGGACAAUGGGCGAAAGCCUGAUCCAGCAAUGCCGCGUGAGUGAUGAAGGCCUUAGGGUUGUAAAGCUCUUUUACCCGGGAUGAUAAUGACAGUACCGGGAGAAUAAGCUCCGGCUAACUCCGU